rnacentral:rRNA from 1 species
UACGAGGGGGGCAAGCGUUGUCCGGAAUUAUUGGGCGUAAAGAGCUCGUAGGCGGUUUGUCGCGUCUGCUGUGAAAACUCGGGGCUUAACUGCGGGACUGCAGUCGAUACGGGCAGGCUAGAGUUCGGUAGGGGAGACUGGAAUUCCUGGUGUAGCGGUGAAAUGCGCAGAUAUCAGGAGGAACACCGGUGGCGAAGGCGGGUCUCUGGGCCGAUACUGACGCUGAGGAGCGAAAGCGUGGGGAGCGAACAGG